UACAGAGGUCCCAAGCGUUGUUCGGAUUCAUUGGGCGUAAAGGGUGCGUAGGCGGCGCGGUAAGUCGGGUGUGAAAUCUCGGAGCUUAACUCCGAAACUGCAUUCGAAUACUGCCGUGCUGGAGGACUGGAGAGGAGACUGGAAUUUACGGUGUAGCGGUGAAAUGCGUAGAUAUCGUAAGGAAGACCAGUGGCGAAGGCGGGGUCUCUGGACAGUUCCUGACGCUGAGGCACGAAGGCCAGGGGAGCAAACGGG
rnacentral:rRNA from 1 species